AAAUACACGCGCCCCCAAUAAAACUUCCUUCUUACGAUUCAUUCCUAAUUUCAUUCUUAUGUUUUCUCUCUACACAAUCAGCUCCCCAUGAAACUCAAUAGAUAUGAACCCUAACCCCUUCGAUAUGCGUAACCCCAUUGAUUUCAUGUAUACAUGGAAUCGAUCCUAUGCGUUCUACUUCUGCUGAUAUGGAAUCGAUCAUAUGCGUAACCCCAGGAAUUCUUGAGGGGCACCGCGUCGACCAUCAACGAUUUUCGAUCCUGUGUGUUCUACUUCAGAUGCAGAUGAAAUAUGUUGAAGCUCGAUUAGGAGAUUGAGUUCUUUAUGUAGAUAAGAUUUUCAAAACCCUAAUUUCUUUAUCAAUUACAAUUUCAUUUUUAUGUUCUUUAAAGGGCAAAGUGAAGUUCAAAACUAUUUUCUGAACUUAUCCUAUUGUAGGUUUUAUCACGUCUUUCUGAGUUGGAAACCACUUUGGAUGUUGGAAUUUUUCACAGGAAUGCUGCUCUUCACUCCAUUGGGUUUCGUUUAAUAGUAUAGAUGAACAUGGUUAAAAGAGAGAAAGUUGUGUCCGAUUUGGUUGGUCUUCCGAUUCUGUCUGUUUUCACUCCCUGAUAUUGUAUGCUCUCAUCCAAUUUUAUUGGUUUCUUAUUCAUCUUCUAUCGAUCUCGGUUUUUUAUUUAAUCUAAUCAGGUUUGGUCCCGUAGUCUGUUGAUUGAUGUGAAGGCAGACACGUUCUGAUCCAUGUUCACCUUACCAGCGAAACAAUAUUGGAUAAGAAAACUUAGAUCAUGUUGUUGUGGCUUUGAAUCUUUGAUAUUUGAAAUCAUAAGUUCUUGUGAUAGACGGAAAACUCUGAUGAUGGAGAUAUUUUUAGGCAUGUCAUAUGUAAAUGGUCAUAAGCAGAUAAGCUUCCUAGAGUGAAUGCAUGUAAUGAGCGGUCGUUGUAACUUGGAAGGGGUAGUUUUGUAAAAUAUCAGAGAAUCUAUGUAAAUUAGUGUUAAAACAGAACAUGUAAAAGAGUGUCAAAAUAGAAUUUCAAAAUGAAUUUAUUAUUAUUUUUUA